rnacentral:tRNA from 1 species
GGCCUCGUAGUACAAAGAAUACAGGGUUGCAACCCCUGAGGAGUAGAGAGAUCUACCGGGGCUU